GAACGCAUCUUGCGCUCCUUGGUAUUCCGAGGAGCAUGCCUGUUUGAGUGUCAUUUAAUUUCUCAAACCACAUUUGAAUUCUUUCGGUGUGGAUUGGAUGUGGGGGGUUUUGCGGGCUUCUCAAGAAGAAGUCGGCUCCCCUGAAAUGUAUUAGUGGUAUCUGAGCUACUGCUAUUAGGUUUGAUAAAUUAUCUAUGCCUUUUGGUAUGCUGCAUAAACAGAUUGCACCGCUUCUAAAAAUGCGAGUGGUCGUUGAACCACACAAUUUUGAUGAAUUUGACCUCAAAUCAGGUAGGACUACCCGCUGAACUUAAG
rnacentral:misc_RNA from 1 species